rnacentral:rRNA from 1 species
AGUGAACGCUGGCGGUAGGCCUAACACAUGCAAGUCGAACGGCAGCACAGUAAGAGCUUGCUCUUACGGGUGGCGAGUGGCGGACGGGUGAGGAAUACAUCGAAAUCUACUUUUUCGUGGGGGAUAACGUAGGGAAACUUACGCUAAUACCGCAUACGACCUACGGGUGAAAGCAGGGGAUCUUCGGACCUUGCGCGAUUGAAUGAGCCGAUGUCGGAUUAGCUAGUUGGCGGGGUAAAGGCCCACCAAGGCGACGAUCCGUAGCUGGUCUGAGAGGAUGAUCAGCCACACUGGAACUGAGACACGGUCCAGACUCCUACGGGAGGCAGCAGUGGGGAAUAUUGGACAAUGGGCGCAAGCCUGAUCCAGCCAUACCGCGUGGGUGAAGAAGGCCUUCGGGUUGUAAAGCCCUUUUGUCGGGAAAGAAAAGCAGCAGGUUAAUACCCCGCUGUUCUGACGGUACCCAAAGAAUAAGCACCGGCUAACUUCGUG